GUGUGAGGAUGUUUUUUAUACUGCUGCCUGAAGUUUAAGUUGCUGAUUACUUUUUAAAUAGAUAAUUUGGUGGUAAGUACUAUAUUUUAAAAAUGCGUAUGCCCGUUACCCUUCAAUUCCAUUAUACUAAAAUACCCUUGGGAAAUAGAGAUACAUGCACUUUGUUUUUCACAGCACUUAUUUUAAAAAGAACCCAUAGAAUGGAUCUUAUAAGUAAAUUUCAGUUGCAUCCAUAGGAUGCAAUAAUAUGUGACCAUCAAAGGUGACAAUAGAUAUAGAAGUACGUUGAUGUGCGAAGAUGUAUUUUGUUUUAGCCAGCGAGGAAAAAAGAAUCAGUUUGAUUAUACAUUUACCAAACAUUAAGAAUUUAAUAUGGUAACUUUUAUUUCAGUAUUAAAAUAGCAAUUUUAUUUAUUACUUUUUUAUAUACAGAAUUCGACACCAAAUUUUGGAACUUAAAAAGAAGAUUCUUAAAACUUACAAUCCAGCCCAGGGCUUCCCAGCUGUCUUCAUCCAGGCCUGCGCCGGUGUUCACAGUGGUCCUCAUCUAAGCCAGCCAAGAAGAUCUCUGUCAUCCACGUGACAGCCAGCCCAGAUGUCCCUAGCCGUCCUCAUCAAGGCCAGCCAGUUUGCUUACACGUGUGCUAAUUGGAGCCAGCCACCCUCAUAGAGGCCAUCCCAGAUUACGAUGAGGACCUGGUGCAGGAAGCUUCAUCUGAAGAUGUCCUGGGCGUUCAUAUGGUGGACAAAGACACAGAGAGAGACAUUGAGAUGAAACGGCAACUACGGCGACUACGGGAGCUCCACCUAUACAGCACAUGGAAGAAGUACCAAGAGGCGAUGAAGACAUCCUUGGGAGUUCCACAAUGUGAGCGUGACGAAGGCUCCUUGGGCAAGCCAUUGUGUCCACCCGAGAUACUCUCGGAGACGUUGCCAGGCUCUGUGAAGAAAAGGGUAUGCUUUCCAUCAGAAGAUCAUCUAGAGGAGUUUAUAGCAGAACAUCUCCCUGAAGCAUCCAAUCAGAGUCUCCUCACUGUUGCCCAUGCAGACACAGGCAUCCAAACCAACGGUGACCUGGAAGACCUGGAGGAGCAUGGGCCAGGGCAGACAGUCUCUGAGGAAGCCACAGAAGUUCACAUGAUGGAGGGGGACCCAGACACACUGGCCGAACUUCUGAUCAGGGAUGUACUUCAGGAGCUGUCCAGUUACAACGGCGAGGAGGAGGACCCAGAGGAGGUGAAGACAUCCUUGGGAGUUCCACAACGUGGUGACCUGGAAGACCUGGAGGAGCAUGUGCCAGGGCAGACAGUCUCUGAGGAAGCCACAGGGGUUCACAUGAUGCAGGUGGACCCAGCCACACUGGCAAAGCAAUUGGAAGACUCCACCAUUACAGGCAGCCACCAGCAGAUGUCAGCAAGUCCUUCCUCUGCACCUGCAGAAGAAGCAACAGAAAAGACCAAAGUGGAAGAGGAAGUGAAAACCAGAAAGCCCAAGAAGAAAACCAGGAAGCCCAGCAAGAAAAGCCGGUGGAAUGUCCUGAAAUGUUGGGACAUUUUUAAUAUAUUUUAGAGACCUCUGAAGAUUCCUCGACCACCAGGAAGGGCCCCGACGUGGGGAUGUCAACAUGGCUCAGACUUGAUGUGGAUCGUGAUCAUUUCGGGAAAUGUGUUACUCCAAAAACUUUUAUAAUCUUUGCUUAAUUUGUUUUUAAAUACUUUCCUGGCUGGGCGUGGUGGCUUAUGCCUGUAAUCCCAGCACUUUGGGAGGCCGAGGCGGGUGGAUCACCUGAGGUCAGGAGUUAAAGACCAGCCUGGCCAACAAGGUGAAACCCCGUCUCUACUAAAAAUACAAAAAUUAGCUAGGCGUGGUGGCGCACUCUUGUAGUCCCAGCUAUUUGGGAGGCUGAGGCAGGAGAAUCACUUGACCUCAGGAGGCGGAGGUUGCAGUGAGCCGAGAUCAUGCCACUGCACCCCAGCACCUGGCUACAGAGUGAGACUUUGUCUCAAAAAAAAAAAAAAAAGAACAAAAAAAUUCUGACUUUAACCUCUGUUUUUCAGAGGGCACAAAUUGUUCUUGUAUUGUUUCCAUUUUACAUUUUUUUCUUGAAGUUAUUUUCCAAUUGUUUUCAUUCUUUCUGAAGUUUUGUUUACUCGGUUUUAAGUUUUUGUAAUUUUGAUAGACUUUUGUGCUUUCAUUUUCUUAAUGACUUUUACCUCAUUUUUAAAACAAAUCCAUAGUAUGGAUGAUAUUGAUGAUGAAAUGUCUUACGAUGAUCAUUUAGAGGUUUAUUUUGAACAACUGGCAAUUCCAGGAAUGAUGGAAUAAAGCAUACGAAGUAGAAGGACUGGAACCUCCAGAAAAAGUACUUUAAGUUACCUACAGGUGAUCCUAGUCAGGCAAAUGAAAACAGUAGCCUAAAGUGUCAGUUUCAACCAGAAAAUAACAGCUCUGAUUUCUCAUGGCUCAUACUCGUCUGAAACGACUCAGGUAGAGGCUGAGGAAGGCCGUGUUGUUUGUCUACCUGGGACUACACCUACUGAAAGAAGUUCUCAAGUUCUGAUUGAGUUCUAAAAUUUUUUGAAGAUUGGAAUUCUUCAUAUGUAAAAAGAGAAGAGAAAGACAUUCUUGAUUUUGGUGACUAGAGUUGUAGAUGCUGGAAGCUUUGCCACUAACAUUGAUGAACCAGAUGCAUGUCACCAGCCCAUCACGGUGAUUCUUAAUGCCGGCACCAUGGGCCCGGCACUGCCACGUUUUCCAAGGAACCUGCCGGAGCUCCUGCGGAAGCUGCUCCUCAGGCGAUGGAGUCCCUUCGCUGGUAGGCCCUUCUUCAGUCACCACAGGAUGCCUGCCAUUCAUGAACAAGAAGGAGAGGACGGGCUUUGAAUAAAAAACAGGAUCCAGGAAAUAUUUGUGAGGCCAUUUGGACUUCAGUGUGAAAUGGUGUUAAAAGAUGAAGUCAUUUAUUCAAGAAGUAAACCUCUGCCACCUGGACUGUGCGCAGACAUUUCAUUGAUUUUGUUUAAUAAACAUUUUCUGGCUUUGGGAGGUGUCUCUCUUGGUAGAACACAGUGUCAAAGAUGGACAAGAUGGACACAUAGUCCAUUAUUUGGUAUUGUUUGUGUAUGGGAGCAGACCACAAAUUAAUGUUUGGAGAACAAUUUUGUCAUAACACACUGUUGAGGCUCAGUUGUACAGAACUGGAAAAGUCUUCAGCUUGGCACAUGUCCUGAUUCAGCCUUUGUUUAACAUAUAUUCCAAUCCGGAUUCUAUCUUCACUGGCUACAAAGACCACCUGAUACGUGCACCACGACACAGGAGCUGCUGGAGAGGGGGUAGUGUUAUCACCUCAAACCCACAGCCAUAUUUUUCAAAAGCCAGCUUAGAGAGAGGUGUACUGAUAGCUGCAUAGAGAACAUGCAGUCCAUCCAUUCUUCCCAGUGAUGUACAUUUCUCAAUCAGUAACCACGUGGUAUACCAGCCUUGAGUGUCACAUCUCCCAACCAUACCAAAUGGAUCACCUAACUGGAGGUGGGGGGGGCCCUCAGAAAUGAGAUUUCGUAUUUACUGUAAAAUUGCCUUAUUUUUUCUUUUGAGGUGGAGUCUCACUCUGUUGCCUGGGCUGGAGUGCAAUGGUGUGAUCACUGCUCACUGCAACCUCCGCCUCCUGGGUUCAAGCAGUUCUCCUGCCUCAGCCUCCCAAGUAGCUGCAAUUACAGGUGCAUGCCACCACUCCCAGCAAAUUUUUAUAUUUUUAGUGGAGACAGGGUUUCACCAUGUUGACCAGGCUGGUCUCAAACUCCUGACCUCAGGUGAUCUGCCCACCUUGGCCUCCCAAAGUUCUGGGAUUAAAGGUACGAGCCACCGCAACUGGCUGAGAAUCUUUUUAUUUGCUGAUUUGUCUCUUGUGUAUUUUCUUUGUUCAGAUGUCUCUUCAGAUCUUUUUCUCACUUUUAAAUUGUUUUUUAAUUGUUAAGAAUUUUCUGUCUAGUUUAGAUAUAAGCCCUUUAUCAGACAUGUGUUUUGCAAAUAUUUUCUCCUAGUCUGUGGCUUGUAUUCUGUCUCUUAACACUCAUUUUAUUUUUACUUUUGGAACUAAAGAAGAAGAAUGGUCAGCUUUCCAUUAUUCUUGUAACAGUAAUGGCAGAACCAAGUCUGCUAAUGCUACACUGAGCAAAGAAAGUCACCUGGUGAAGUCCAACAUUAAUGAAAUGGGGUAGUACAUGCAGGCAGCGUUGGGGGUGGGGAGGGAACAAAUGCUUCUUGAGAGUAAUAUAAUCUGCCAUACCAUCCAGGAACCUACAAUGGCUAUCUAUUACCUUAUUCUCUGGUUUGUUUAAUGUUCGAAUCUUUCCGAAAGAUCCUUCAACCUUUCUGGAAGAAUCUAAUCUGAUAACACCAUCAAAAACACAUUACUUCUUUUGGCAUAAUUUAAAUUGUAAGACAUCAUUCACAUUUAUCAAUGUUACAUAUAUAAGAACUCACCCACCAUAUUCUUCCUUGAGGAAUUACAGCAUGUAAUUCUAUAAUCAUUUUUAUAAUCGUCUAACAAUUUUAUAAUGGAUUGGUUGCUUACUAUCAAUUUUUUAAAAGUCAUGGCUUCUCCAGUCAUUUCUUGCUUAUCGAAAUUAUUUCAUGAGAUGGGUCUCUCCUUGUAUAUUUGAAAAUGAGGUUUGCUUCCUUCUACUUAAAAAACAACUUGAACAUACCUGUUUGGAUCACAUGGUCUUGUCCUGAUAACUUGGAAGAGGUUGCUUCAGCAUUGUUCUUAUUGUUGUGGUGGUUAUUAUUAAUAUUGUUUCAUAUUCUGUUUAAAAAAUUAAAAUUUUACACAAGACCAAUGUCUUCUUUUCAAUUCCAGUACAUUUUUCAGAAGUAACUAAUGCUAUUGGCUUUGUGCAUUGUAAUUUCAGACCAUUUUAUAUGUCUUUAGUUAUAUGUACAGUAUACACACAUAUGUGUCAUAUUAUUCCAUUUUUUCUAGCAUUAAACAUUGCUAUGGAAAACUCUCGGAAAAAUAUUUAUUUGAACAGAACUUUUUCUUUUCUCAGAUGUACCCUCCUUAGGAAUCUUUCUUUGAUCCUUGAAGUUUGGUAACAACUUUAAAUAUGUGUAUCCCAGCUGGGAGCAGCGGCUCACACCUGUAAUUUCAGCACUUUGGGAGGCCGAGGAGGGUGGAUCACCUGAGGUCAGGAGUUUGCCUGGCCAACAUGGUGAAACCCCGUCUUUACUGAAAAUACAAAAAGUUAGCCAGGUGUGGUGGCUGGCACCUGUAAUCCCAGCUACAUGGGAGGCUGAGGCAGGAGAAUCGCUUGAACCUAUAGAGACAAGGUUUCACCAUGUUGACCAGGCUGGUCUCGAACUCCUGACCUCAGGUGAUCCACCCACCUCAGCCUCCCAAAAUGCUGGGAUUACAGGCAUGAGCCAUUGCACCCAGCCAUACAGGAGCAAGUUUAAAAAUUAAAUAUUUAUUUGAAUAACAAGCUUACAUUGGAGCUGCAAUGUUGGCAAUCCAGAUUUUGAACACGGAUCACAAAAAGCAUGCAUAAAAUCCUACUGGCCCAGAGAACAAAACACUGCUCAGAAUUAAGCGAAAUAGCUGCUACUGUUAAGAAAACAGGCCUGAAAUCAAUAUACAAGAUUUUAAAAAAUGUAUUGGCCGGAUGCAGUGGCUCAUUCCUGUAAUUCCAGAACUUUGGGAGGCCAAGACAGGAGAAUCACCUGAGGUCAGGAGUUCAAGACCAGCCUGGCCAACAUGGUGAAACUCCAUCUCUACUAAAAAUAAAAAAUUAGCUGGGUGUGGUGACACAUGCCUGUAGUCCCAGCUACCUGGGAGGCUGAGGCAGAAUAAUUUCUCGAACCCAGGAGGAGGAGGUUUGCAAUGGCAUGAUCUCUGCUCACCGCAACCUCCGCCUCCCGGGUUCAAGCAAUUCUCCUACUUCAGCCUCCCGAGUAGCUGGGAUUACAGGCAUGUGCCACCAUGCCUGGCUACUUUUCUGUAUUUUUAGUAGAGACAGAGUUUCUCCAUGUUGGUCAGGCUGGUCUUGAACUCACAACCUCCGGUGAUCUGCCUGCCUCGGCCUCCCAUAGUGCUGGGAUUACAGGCAUGAGCCACCAUGCCUGCCCAUGAAAGCACUUUUAAAAAGAGAGCACCUCUGCUGCCUGGUCAUAUUCUGUACCUGUUCCCAAACCCUGAAACCAGUGAUGUCAAUGGCUGCGUGGGCAUUGAACGUGUACAUGAUUCCUGCAGCUUUCCUGUUGACCUGGACCAUGUUCAUCAAUGCUUUUUGGUACAUUAAUUCUACAUCUUCUUCGGUGACCACAGUUUAUGUUUAUUUCAUUUUUCAGGAAUAUCCAGCCACUGGUGCACAGCCAUUGCCACUUGUGCCCCCAGGGGAUCUUGUCAACUCCAGUAUGUCCCCCCAGCACUGUGUUAUCUGGCAUAAUAAAUGUAGUUGGGCUGUAGUUGUAGUGACUCCUCCCAAAACAACCCAGGAGUUUAAUACUGUUUGGCCACCGGUUACAGACAUUGCUGCCCCUUCCGCUGCGGCUUUAAAAGCCUAUCUAAUCGGCUGGGUGUGAUGGUGGCUCAGACCUAUAAUCCCAGCACUUUGGGAGUCCAAGGUGGGUGGAUCACCUGAGGUCAGGAGUUUGAGACCGGCCUGGCCAACAUGGUGAAACCCCAUCUCUACUAAAAAUACAGCAAAUUAGCUGGGCGUGGUGGCGCAUGACUGUAAUCCCAGCUACUCGGGAGGCUGAGGUAGGAGAAUUGCUUGGGUGGCAGAGUAAGACUCCGUCCCAAAAAAAAAAGUUAUCUAAUCAGGGACGUCACCUUUCCCUGCCAGUCAUUUUGUUACCAAUGAAAGAAAACAUAUUCAAAUCAAUUUUUAGUUCAGAAAAUGUUUCUUUCAUUGUAUCUUUGAAUUUUAUUGUUCUGCAUUUUUUACUUCAAAAACACCUACUAUAUGCAUUUUUUCUCUCGUUUCCUUUUUUUUCCAAGAAAUGUUUUUGUCCUUUUGAUUUUUUCACUGACCAUUACCAUUAUUUAUAUACCAUGUACCUGGAGAGUUUCCAAUGUUUCUCUUUGGUCUGAGAUACUUGCUAUGAUUUUCACUUUUUAAAUGCUCUUUUGAGAUUUGUUUUGUGGCCUAAAAUGUGGUCUAUCCUGGAGAAUGUUCUGUGAGCUGAUGAGAAGAAUGCACGUUCUGCAGUUGGUGGGUGAAAUGUUCUGUAAUUACCUGUGAGGUCCCUUUGACUUCUCUUGGAGUCAGUCUGGUCUGUUACUUUUCUGCCUAGAGGGUGUGUCUGUUGCUGAAAGUGGGUGUUGGAGUCCCCAGCUAUUAUUGUCUGUCUCUGUCUGUUGCUCGAAUAACUCUUACUUUAAUAACUGGGGCUCCUGUGUCAGGUGUGUUUACAUUGACAACUGUCCUACCUUCUUGCUGAAUUGAUCUCUUUAUCGUUUUAUAAUGACCUUUAUUUUCUAUUUUUGUGCUUUUUUGACUUAAAGCCUACUUUGUGUGACAAGCAUAGCUAUACAUACUCACUUUUGGUAACACUUUUCAUUUCUUAUCAUCUUCAUUGAAUCUCACUUCUUCACAUUUACCAAAAUGUCUACUUUUGAGCUGUGGCACCUCUUUGAAUCUUCAGAUCCACCACAUGCUGAUCAAGCCUUCCUUUUUGUCUGUACUCUGAGGAAUCCCAAACAGGCAUUUUUGCAAGAAAGUCUAGGAGGGAAACAUAAAUCUAUGUGUCAAAAAAAUGAACAUAGAAAAUAAUGUGUCCUGGUUAACAAAAGUUCUCAUUGUAAAGUGUUAGGCACAAGACUAUGGAAUUUCAUGUGCCAUAAAUAAAAUUGUCUUGAUUUGUCUAAAACUACAUUUUGUCUAAAACUACUUUUAAAAAUUACAUGUUACUCUAAUA
rnacentral:lncRNA from 1 species